rnacentral:rRNA from 1 species
GAGUUCAAUAGUACGUGAAACCGUUCAGGGGUAAACCUGAGAAACCCGAAAGGUCGAAAGGGGAGAUUCAGCGUGUCUCGAUUGCGGCGCUGAACGGUCGUGCGACGGUAGGCGUACGCGUCUACCGCACCUUCCGUUCUCCGAACUGCCGUCGAACGCGUGCACUUCUCCCCCUGUAGGACGUCGCGAUCCGUUGGGUGCCGGUCUAAGGCCCGCGGUGGAGCCCGUCCGGACGGUUCGCCGUUCCGGACGAACCCGCGGUGUUUCCCGGUCGGCCAGCUCGACGGUAUACAGAUGGCGCGGGGCCGCCGAUUAACAAUUGGCGUCCGACCCGCGGCAAGCACGCUCGUCGUAACGGUAAUCGGACCUGGUGCCGGUCCCGUUCCCGGGCGGCUGUUCGCUGCGGUGUUCUCGGACAGACCUCGUCGAAACGCCGAUCUGCGACGCUAUAGCUUUGGGUACUUUCAGGACCCGUCUUGAAACACGGACCAAGGAGUCUAGCAUGUGCGCGAGUCAUUGGGACAUGACUAAACCUAAAGGCGCAAUGAAAGUGAAAGUCCGCCUAGCGCGGACCCAGGGAGGACGGGCGGUCGUUGCGGCUGCCGCCCCGCACUCCCGGGGCGUCUCGUUCUCAUUGCGAGAAGAGGCGCACCAAGAGCGUACACGCUGGGACCCGAAAGAUGGUGAACUAUGCCUGGUCAGGACGAAGUCAGGGGAAACCCUGAUGGAGGUCCGUAGCGAUUCUGACGUGCAAAUCGAUCGUCGGAACUGGGUAUAGGGGCGAAAGACUAAUCGAACCAU